rnacentral:rRNA from 1 species
AAGGGGUGUAUUUAUUAGAUAAAAAACCAAUGCCCUUCGGGGCUUUUUGGUGAUUCAUGAUAACUUUACGGAUCGCAUAGCCUUGCGCUGGCGACGGUUCAUUCAAAUUUCUGCCCUAUCAACUUUCGAUGGUAAGGUAUUGGCUUACCAUGGUUUCAACGGGUAACGGGGAAUUAGGGUUCGAUUCCGGAGAGGGAGCCUGAGAAACGGCUACCACAUCCAAGGAAGGCAGCAGGCGCGCAAAUUACCCAAUCCCGACACGGGGAGGUAGUGACAAUAAAUACUGAUACAGGGCUCUUUUGGGUCUUGUAAUUGGAAUGAGUACAAUUUAAACCUCUUAACGAGGAACAAUUGGAGGGCAAGUCUGGUGCCAGCAGCCGCGGUAAUUCCAGCUCCAAUAGCGUAUAUUAAAGUUGUUGCAGUUAAAAAGCUCGUAGUUGAAACUUGGGCCUGGCUGGCGGGUCCGCCUCACCGCGUGCACUCGUCCGGCCGGGCCUUCCUUCUGAAGAACCUCAUGCCCUUCACUGGGCGUGCUGGGGAAUCAGGACUUUUACUUUGAA